rnacentral:rRNA from 1 species
AUUGAACGCUGGCGGCAGGCCUAACACAUGCAAGUCGAGCGGAUGAAGGGAGCUUGCUCCUGGAUUCAGCGGCGGACGGGUGAGUAAUGCCUAGGAAUCUGCCUGGUCGUGGGGGAUAACGUCCUGAAACGGGCGCUAAUACCGCAUACGUCCUGAGGGAGAAAGUGGGGGAUCUUCGGACCGCACGCUAUCAGAUGAGCCUAGGUCGGAUUAGCUAGUUGGUGGGGUAAAGGCCUACCAAGGCGACGAUCCGUAACUGGCCUGAAGGGAUGAUCAGUCACCCGGGAAGUGAGACACGGUCCAGACUCCUGCGGUGGGCCACAGUGGGGAAUAUUGGACGAUGGGGGAGUGCGUGAUCCUGCAAUGCCGCGUGUGUGAAGAAGGUCUUCGGAUUGUAAAGCAAUGUAAGUUGGGAGGAAGGACAGUAAGUUAAUACCUUGCUGUUUUGACGUUACCAACAGAAUAAGCACCGGCUAACUUCGUG